rnacentral:ncRNA from 1 species
GGGGGCUUUUUCGCGGCCGCCCCGUGAGGCACCUGCCCAAGCGCCGC